rnacentral:rRNA from 1 species
CAAUAGCGUAUAUUAAAGUUGUUGCAGUUAAAAAGCUCGUAGUUGGAUUUCUGGUGGGAGCGAUCGGUCUGGCGCUUAGCGCGAGUACUUGCAUCGUCUCCGGCCAUCCUUGGGGAGAGUCUGUCUGGCAUUAGGUUGUCGUGCAUGGGAUUCUCAUCAUUUACUGCGAAAAAAUUAGAGUGUUUAAAGCAGGCCUUUGCCUUGAAUACAUUAGCAUGGAAUAAUAAGAUAGGACCGUUGUCUAUUUUGUUGGUUUACAGAUGUCGGUAAUGAUUAAUAGGGAUAGUUGGGGGUAUUCGUAUUCAGUUGUCAGAGGUGAAAUUCUUGGAUUUUCGGAAGACGCACGACUGCGAAAGCAUUUACCAAGGAUGUUUUCAUUAA